rnacentral:rRNA from 1 species
UACGGAGGGUGCGAGCGUUAAUCGGAAUUACUGGGCGUAAAGCGCGUGUAGGCGGUACUUUAAGUCAGAUGUGAAAUCCCCCGGCUCAACCGGGGGAGUGCAUUGGAUACUGGAAUACUUGAGUGAUAGAGGGGAAAGCGGAAUUCCAUGUGUAGCGGUGAAAUGCGUAGAGAUUAGGAGGAACACCAGUGGCGAAGGCGGCUUUCUGGCUAUUAACUGACGCUGAGGUGCGAAAGCGUGGGGAGCAAACAGG